UUUGAAGUAACAACUUAGUAUCAAUUAAUUGCUGUAUAAGAACAAAUAAUAUUAUUUCAGAGAUAUGAUGCUUUAUGCACUUCUGUGAGAAAUGGUAUAGAAGGUGAAAGAUAUUUAGAAUGAAUGAUAACUGAACGAACUAAAAUAGUAAUUCAUAUGUUCUAUGUAAAACAUCGGGAGGAAGAUUUUCGUAUAUACUGUUACUGUUAUGUUUGUUUUAUGCUGUGAGACUACACGUUACGUGUUGUAUAUGAAAUUGCUAUGCAUUGUUGUGUGAGGACAUUGGUACUUCAUUGGGGAAUAAUUCUUCGCAGUAUGAUAAAAGAAAAUGACAUUCCACUGAAUAGUUGGAAAGUAAAUCUGGGCAAUUCACAUCUUUCAG